ensembl:lncRNA
ACACACUCACACUCUCUCACACACACUCUCUCUCUCACACACACACACACACACACACACACACACACACACACACACACACACACACACACACACACACACACAGAGCCCUCACUGGAUGAUUGACAGGCGGAGUCUUCUUCUGAUUGGAGGAGCGGCUGUCACUCACAGAGUGUGAUUCUGUUAUUUGCUUUAUUAAAAUCUAUUUUACGCCCCUGGAACACUACGGUAGGCUGUUAUUUCACCUCAGUAUUACUAUCAGCACAAGUAAAAAUACUUUUCAGAAACAUCUGCACGAUUCGGUGAUAAAAAUAAACAGCGUCGGCUGAUUCCUGAAAUUCGCGCCGAUCGAGAAGCGCGACCUCUGCGGCUUUUAUCCGUGAACCCUGGGAAAAACCGUGAGAUGAAACUUCCCUCGCCGGAGCCGCGAGCAGGAAAGGCUGGGAAAAGCGGAAAUAAACAGUCGCCGAAAGAGGAAGAGCAGUUAUGAGCGGAACAGGAGGCUAGAGACAGCAGCGUCAGGAUGUGGAUCCCUGCUGAAGAACGCGCUCCAGCUCUGGGUGACCGACACCUCCAACGAUUAGAGGACACGGACACACCGGGAGAAACAUCACAGCUGAGUCCCGUGGAGCCCCGACCCGCUCCGAGCACCAGUUCAUCCAGUUCUGUAAGACGCUGUACAGCAUGUUUCAGGGCGAUCCGGGCGAGGCCGAGCUCUUCCAGGCCAUCGGGAUGGUCACCAGCCUCGCGACAGAGCGGUCAGAGCCGGAGCGAGGAGCACUGGUCAGUCAGCUUCGAGCAGGUCCUGGCCUCCUUACUGACCCGAGCAGGUGCUGGUCAGCUUCCUGGAGCGACCCGAGGAGCCCAGCGCCAGGAUCAGCGCCGCCAGGCCCCGGCAGCACCAGGAGCGCUUGACCAGGACCAGAGACCCACGCCUGUACAGUCCCAUGAUGCCACUAGGGUGAGCCGCCCCCUCAGCUGGGUUUAUAUCAGUAUCACAACACAUUACUCUCACUCUGCAGCACACUUUACUGUGCAGAUCCAGUCAAUACCACACAAGUUCAGUCUGACAGGAUCGAACGGUUUACAUGUCACUGUGACCGUAUCAACACGACUCACAUGAAGGAAAUAUUAUUAUUAUUAUAACUGAUCCAGCAGCUGAAUGAUUCUGAAUCAUGAACACAUCAAUCUGAUUCUAAUCAAAUGCUGCAGGGUUUCACACAUUUUAUAAUAUUUGUGCUGCAACAAAUGUUCUUUUUUUUUCUUGUUAUAAAUAUCUCUAUAUCCUUAAAUCAAGAUGCUUUUACUGGAGAAGUAAAAUAAACACAUGAAGUCUUGUUUUCUGAAAAAUAAA